GUCAGGAUGGCCGAGCGGUUCUAAGGCGCUGCGUUUAGUCGCAGUCUCCCCUGGAGGCGUGGGUUCGAAUCCCACUUCUGACA
rnacentral:tRNA from 1 species